rnacentral:rRNA from 1 species
AACGAACGCUGGCGGCAUGCCUAACACAUGCAAGUCGAACGAUGCUUUCGGGCAUAGUGGCGCACGGGUGCGUAACGCGUGGGAAUCUGCCCUGGGGUUCGGGAUAACAGCGGGAAACUGCUGCUAAUACCGGAUGAUAUCGCGAGAUCAAAGAUUUAUCGCCCUGGGAUGAGCCCGCGUCGGAUUAGGUAGUUGGUGGGGUAAGACCUAGCAAGCCGACGAUCCGUAGCUGGUCUGAGAGGAUGAUCAGACACACUGGGACUGAGACACGGCCCAGACUCCUACGGGAGGCAGCAGUGGGGAAUAUUGGACAAUGGGCGGAAGCCUGAUCCAGCAAUGCCGCGUGAGUGAUGAAGGCCUUAGGGUUGUAAAGCUCUUUUACCCGGGAUGAUAAUGACAGUACCGGGAGAAUAAGCCCCGGCUAACUCCGUG